rnacentral:rRNA from 1 species
GAUUAACGCUGGCGGCAUGCCUUAUGCAUGCAAGUCGAACGGCAGCGGGUGUAGUAGUAAUACUACAUGCCGGCGAGUGGCGGACGGGUGAGUAAAGCGUAGGAAUCUACCUAAUAGACUGGGACAACUUGGGGAAACUCGAGCUAAUACCGGAUAAUCUCUAAGGAGGAAAGGAUGGGACUUGAAAGAGCCAUUCGCUAAUAGAUGAGCCUAUGUCGGAUUAGCUAGUUGGUGGGGUAAAGGCCUACCAAGGCGAUGAUCUAUAGCUGGUCUGAGAGGAUGAACAGCCACACUGGGACUGAGACACGGCCCAGACUCCUACGGGAGGCAGCAGUGGGGAAUAUUGGACAAUGGGGGAAACCCUGAUCCAGCGAUGCCGCGUGUGCGAAGAAGGCCUGCGGGUUGUAAAGCACUUUGGUUGGGGAAGAAGGGUGGUAGAUGAAUAAUUUGCCAACUUGACGUUACCCAAAGAACAAGCACCGGCUAACUCUGUGCCAGCCGCCGCCGUAA